rnacentral:lncRNA from 1 species
CUAAAUCCUAGUCUAUAUGAUCAAAAUGCACAUGGGUGAAUGAAUAAAACAAUGUAAAUAUGCAAGAUAUCACUGCCUAAGACCCCUAGAACUUUGGAAGUAGCCAGCUAGAUCGCCAUUAACUUGCACGGAAAAAGAUGGGCUUGUGAUACAAAGCGCAAUCCAAUGAACAAAUCUCGCAGGGAAACCCAACACCUUCAAGCUCUUCAGAACAAAUUCCCAUUGCACUGAGUCAAAUGCUUUAGCUAUAUCAAUCUUCAUAACACACCUCGGAGAGACCCCAUC